CAGUCGCCGCGGUAAUACGUAGGGUGCAAGCGUUAAUCGGAAUUACUGGGCGUAAAGCGUGCGCAGGCGGUCCGCUAAGACAGAUGUGAAAUCCCCGGGCUUAACCUGGGAACUGCAUUUGUGACUGGCGGGCUAGAGUAUGGCAGAGGGGGAUGGAAUUCCGCGUGUAGCAGUGAAAUGCGUAGAUACGCGGAGGAACACCGAUGGCGAAGGCAAUCCCCUGGACCUGUACUGACGCUCAUGCACGAAAGCGUGGGGAGCAAACAGGAUUAGAUACCCGCGUAGUCCCUGUCUCUUAUAC
rnacentral:rRNA from 1 species